UGUGUGCCGCCUGCCUGUGGUCCUGGGAGCCCGAGGCCAGCCCGGCUGCCGCAUCCUGCUCUUCUCACCUCCAGGUUUCAGAUAGGAGUCACUCGCCUCUUUGUGCCACACCCACAUCUAAGCCGUGUAGAACAGGCCCCUUGCAGGUGUCUGCCCCCAGCCUCUGCACUUGUGAGACCUUCUCUCUGGAAAAUUCUUCUCUGAUAUCCACAUGCCUUCGCGUUGCCUCCCCAUCUCACCCUGAAAGGCUGCCCAGGCUUUGCUGAAGUUCUGCAGACCUUCAGUACCUGCAAGGGGAUGCUGGGCGAGAUCCUGUCUGCAUUCGAGUUCAUGGAUGCUGUGUGCAUGCAGCUGGUCAGGCGCCAUCUCCACCUGGCCAGCCCGGUGCAAGAUCUCCACAAUGGAAGUUCGAAGCUAGCAAAAGCCACGCAAACCACAGGCUGAUCUGUCUGAGCCCCGGGAUUUGGCCCCAGGUUCCGCUUCAGCCACCAGCACCGUCUGCUCCUCCUCAGAAUCCUUCCUCCCCCUCGGCCCGC
rnacentral:sRNA from 1 species